CUAGUUGGCGAGGUAACGGCUCACCAAGGCAACGACGGGUAGCUGGUCUGAGAGGAUGGCCAGCCACAUUGGGACUGAGAUACGGCCCAGACUCCUACGGGAGGCAGCAGUGGGGAAUCUUGCGCAAUGGCCUAACGGCUGACGCAGCGACGCCGCGUGUGGGAUGAAGCUCUUCGGAGUGUAAACCACUGUUGCCCGGGACGAAUAGCUCGAUUAAUCGAGCCUGACGGUACCGGGUGAGGAAGCACCGGCUAACUCCGUGCCAGCAGCCGCGGUAAUACGGGGGGUGCGAGCGUUGUCCGGAAUCACUGGGCGUAAAGGGCGCGUAGGUGGUUUGAUAAGGGUGUGGUGAAAGUCCGGGGCUCAACCCCGGAUCUGCCGUGCCGACUGUCAAACUCGAGGGCUGUAGAGGCAGACGGAAUUCCGGGUGUAGCGGUGGAAUGCGUAGAGAUCCGGAGGAAGACCGGUGGCGAAGGCGGUCUGCUGGGCAGUUUCUGACACUGAUGCGCGACAGCGUGGGGAGCAAACAGGAUUAGAUACCCUGGUAGUCCACGCCGUAAACGAUGGGUACUAGGUGCCUGGGGGAGCGACCCUCUGGGUGCCGGCGCUAACGCAGGAAGUACCCCGCCUGGGGAGUACGACCGCAAGGUUGAAACUCAAAGGAAUUGACG
rnacentral:rRNA from 1 species